rnacentral:rRNA from 1 species
GGAGGGUGCAAGCGUUAUCCGGAUUCACUGGGUUUAAAGGGUGCGUAGGUGGGCAGGUAAGUCAGUGGUGAAAUCUUUGGGCUUAACCCGAAAACUGCCAUUGGUACUAUUUGUCUUGAAUAUUGUGGAGGUCAGCGGAAUAUGUCAUGUAGCGGUGAAAUGCUUAGAUAUGACAUAGAACACCAAUUGCGAAGGCAGCUGGCUACACAUAUAUUGACACUGAUGCACGAAAGCGUGGGGAUCAAACAGGAUUAGAUACCCUGGUAGUCCACGCCCUAAACGAUGGAUACAGCAGCCGCGGUAAUACCC